rnacentral:rRNA from 1 species
UACGGAGGGUGCGAGCGUUGUCCGGAAUCAUUAGGCGUAAAGGGCGCGUAGGUGGCCCGGUCAGUUCGUGGUGAAAGCGCGGGGCUCAACCCUGCGUCGGCCAUGAAUACUGCCGCGGCUGGAGCACUGUAGAGGCAGGCGGAAUGCCGGGUGUAGCGGUGGAAUGCGUAGAGAUCCGGAAGAACACCGGUGGCGAAGGCGGCCUGCUGGGCAGUUGCUGACACUGAGGCGCGACAGCGUGGGGAGCGAACAGG